GAUGAACGCUGGCGGCGUGCCUAAUACAUGCAAGUCGAGCGAACGGACGAGAAGCUUGCUUCUCUGAUGUUAGCGGCGGACGGGUGAGUAACACGUGGAUAACCUACCUAUAAGACUGGGAUAACUUCGGGAAACCGUAGCUAAUACCGGAUAAUAUUUUGAACCGCAUGGUUCAAAAGUGAAAGACGGUCUUGCUGUCACUUAUAGAUGGAUCCGCGCUGCAUUAGCUAGUUGGUAAGGUAACGGCUUACCAAGGCAACGAUGCAUAGCCGACCUGAGAGGGUGAUCGGCCACACUAGAACUGAGACACGGUCCAGACUCCUACGGGAGGCAGCAGUAGGGAAUCUUCCGCCAUGGGCGAAAGCCUGACGGAGCAACGCCGAGUGAGUGAUGAAGGUCUUCGGAUCGUAAAACUCUGUUAUUAGGGAAGAACAUAUGUGUAAGUAACUGUGCACAUCUUGACGGUACCUAAUCAGAAAGCCACGGCUAACUACGUG
rnacentral:rRNA from 1 species